rnacentral:misc_RNA from 1 species
UGCAAUCCCAGCAGCAGUGGAGGAAU